rnacentral:rRNA from 1 species
GACGAACGCUGGCGGCGUGCUUAACACAUGCAAGUCGAACGGUAAGGCCCUUCGGGGUACACGAGUGGCGAACGGGUGAGUAACACGUGGGUGAUCUGCCCUGCACUUCGGGAUAAGCCUGGGAAACUGGGUCUAAUACCGGAUAGGACCACUGCCUGCAUGGGUGGUGGUGGACGGCUUUUGCGGUGUGGGAUGGGCCCGCGGCCUAUCAGCUUGUUGGUGGGGUGAUGGCCUACCAAGGCGACGACGGGUAGCCGGCCUGAGAGGGUGACCGGCCACACUGGGACUGAGAUACGGCCCAGACUCCUACGGGAGGCAGCAGUGGGGAAUAUUGCACAAUGGGCGCAAGCCUGAUGCAGCGACGCCGCGUGAGGGAUGACGGCCUUCGGGUUGUAAACCUCUUUCAGCACCGACGAAGCGCAAGUGACGGUAGGUGCAGAAGAAGGACCGGCCAACUACGUGCCAGCCGCCGCUGUAA